ACGAAAAAUAACGAUACGGGACUCAUCCGAGGCCCCGUAAUCGGAAUGAGUACACUCUAAAUCCUUUAACGAGGAUCAAUUGGAGGGCAAGUCUGGUGCCAGCAGCCGCGGUAAUUCCAGCUCCAAUAGCGUAUAUUAAAGUUGUUGCGGUUAAAAAGCUCGUAGUCGAAUUUGUGUCCCGCGCCGCCGGUUCAUCGCUCGCGGUGUCAACUGGCGUGUCCGCGGAACGUCCUGCCGGUGGGCUUAGCCCCCAGUGGGCGGCCCAAUCUCAAUCCCACCGCGGUGCUCUUCACUGAGUGUCGAGGUGGGCCGGCACGUUUACUUUGAACAAAUUAGAGUGCUUAAAGCAGGCUAAAACAUCGCCUGAAUACUGUGUGCAUGGAAUAAUGGAAUAGGACCUCGGUUCUAUUUUGUUGGUUUUCGGAACCCCGAGGUAAUGAUUAAUAGGAACGGAUGGGGGCAUUCGUAUUGCGACGUUAGAGGUGAAAUUCUUGGAUCGUCGCAAGACGGACAGAAGCGAAAGCAUUUGCCAAAAACGCUUUCAUUGAUCAAGAACGAAAGUUAGAGGUUCGAAGGCGAUCAGAUACCGCCCUAGUUCUAACCAUAAACGAUGCCAGCUAGCGAUCCGCCGACGUUCCUCCGAUGACUCGGCGGGCAGCUUCCGGGAAACCAAAGCUUUUGGGUUCCGGGGGAAGUAUGGUUGCAAAGCUGAAACUUAAAGGAAUUGACGGAAGGGCACCACCAGGAGUGGAGCCUGCGGCUUAAUUUGACUCAACACGGGAAACCUCACCAGGCCCGGACACCGGAAGGAUUGACAGAUUGAGAGC
rnacentral:rRNA from 1 species